AUUGAACGCUGGCGGAAUGCUUUACACAUGCAAGUCGAACGGCAGCACGGACUUCGGUCUGGUGGCGAGUGGCGAACGGGUGAGUAAUGUAUCGGAACGUGCCCAGUCGUGGGGGAUAACGUAGUGAAAAUUACGCUAAUACCGCAUACGAUCUAUGGAUGAAAGCGGGGGAUCGCAAGACCUCGCGCGAUUGGAGCGGCCGAUAUCAGAUUAGGUAGUUGGUGGGGUAAAGGCCCACCAAGCCAACGAUCUGUAGCUGGUCUGAGAGGACGACCAGCCACACGGGAACUGAGACACGGGCAAGCCUCCUACGGGAGGCAGCAGUGGGGAAUUUUGGACAAUGGGCGAAAGCCUGAUCCAGCCAUUCCGCGUGCAGGAUGAAGGCCCUCGGGUUGUAAACUGCUUUUGUACAGAACGAAAAGGUUUCUACUAAUACUAGGAGCUCAUGACGGUACUGUAAGAAUAAGCACCGGCUAACUACGUGCCAGCCGCCGCCGUAA
rnacentral:rRNA from 1 species